GUAUGUUUAACCAUGAAAUGUGUCCUGCUUGAUUGCAAAAAUACUGAAAUUCAUAUCUGCAAUUUAGAAGCUUUUUUGGAAGGCUGAAUGCAGUAGCCAUUAUCUAGCACAACAGGAAAAGGCACUAACCAUCCCCAGUUUAGGAUGGUCAGAGGGAAUGAAUGCAUAUCAAGAAGGAAGAACAUGUUUAGCUACAGCAAAUAUGAGGUAAAAUGACAUUUAAAUCUGCCUGUUCACACCCAGUUUGCCCAGACCUUUACAAUAGACCUAAACAUCAAAUUUCUGCAGCUUAUUUUUGAACGUUUAUAGGAAAAUGUGACAAUUAACUCUUUACAUAAAAGGGAUUCAUCUAAUUGUUGUUAAAAAAUAAUGUACAAUACAAAUUAUAUUUUAUUAGAAGCCUAUGUAUUAACCUUCUUGUUAAUCAGCUUGCAUGAUAAAUUCAACUAUAAAACUUACUUACUGAAAGAAAUACCAGGAAAAUGAUACAAGAAGUAGGUUUUAUGGGUUUCUUGCAUUUGGGGAACUUUUAUUUAUUUUCAUUUUAUCUUCUUUGAACUUUUUAAAAAAUAAGUGUUUUAUGUAGUUUUACAUGAAAUUGGUUAUCAUGAAAAUAAGGGACCUGAGUGCUGGCUUUGAGCCAGGCCUAGUGUGGUUAGAUACUGUACAAGCUUUACCACACAGCUCUGUCAAGACAAUUCAUGUCUGUCCUGCUGUUCCAAAGGGUAUACAACAAUCUUUUGGAUCGGUCCCUUUUGAAACUUCUUCUAGCACACUACAUCAAUAUUUUUGAUGUAGUCCAUAAUUGAUAAUAUACAGAAACCGUAAUUUUCAACGGUUUUCCAAUUUUACAAUUGUCUAGUAGUACAAUAUUUUUAUAUUGUAGAAAUAAGAAUGAAAUUUGUUUUGCAUUUGUUUAAGUUUAGCAAUUGUCAUCAAGCAAUGUAAUAUAUAACUACUGAAAGCAUUACUGCCCACAGCAAUAUUGAAAAAUAAAUUUUAAAAAUUUUACAAAUAUAUAGGAGUUGAAAUUGCAUAAGCUAUUUAAAAUAAAGGUAUCUUUCAUAUUUUACAGAUCUUUGGCUGAAUACAAAGCUAAAUAAAUUUCCACAUUCUUUCUUUAUAUAACUGGUUUAUAAUGUCAAAAUAUUGGACAGGGACUAUUCUGGAAUUUACCAUAAAUCUGAGCAUCAGAAGGGAGAAGAUGAAUGUGUAGCAUUAAGCCAAAGUAUGUGGAUGUGCAAUGUUUAGUGGCUGGGAUUUAGCUUAAAGGAUAUAUCAAUUCAAGUUUUAAAACACAGACAUGAGGAGGUCUGGUCAAAGUUUCAGAAAAAUGCAGCACAAUUUGAAUGUAGUUUGCACUAUAUUGUAGCAGAAAGCAUCAGCCUCUACCAAUUGUUACUUACACUGGAAUUAUUCAAAUUCAUGAUAAAUGCACUACUGAAGAGCCUCAGCACAAUUCAUGUUCAUGAUGCUCACACUUUUGGUACUCACAGUCACUGCCAAUCCACAAGCUUGGGGUAUGGGACAUGAGCAUCUGAAAUUCUACAAUGUGUCAAAAAGAAAACUCUCUCUUCCUCAGAUCCUUCCUGGGGAUAAUAGAACUACUAAUGGAGAGGAAAAAUGCUCUUUGGUAUCAAAAAGGUUUGAGGCUUUCCUCUGAAAAGCAGUGAAACAAAACCAAGCAUACAGAAUAAAAUCUACUUAACAGCAAAGUGUUUGGACUCUGCUGCAGACUAGAAAUUCUGCAGCACCUUCAUUUAAAUUAAAAAUGGAGAUGUUAAAAUAAAUUAAAUAUUAUGACUAUCAUGAUCAGUAAAUUAUCCCCUGCUAAUUAUUUUGAUAUUAAAACGUACAUUGUCUCCAUACUAUCAUUUUGCAGUAUGCUAGAGAUUUUUGUAUCCAUAAUAUAUAAGCUGCGUCUUAGAAACUGAAAGGCAGAAGAUGGAGAUUUGGCAUCUGGGUAUGGAAUAGUUGGGGCUUUUGGCAUCAUGUAGUUCAGGAUUGUGUACAAGAAAAUUAGUUAGAUAUUUCAGUGAAAUGGAGGAAAUGCUGACACUGAAAUGGUAAUAGGCUUCAGUCACUGAGAUACAUGGGGCAGUUCACAUUGCUUAGAAUUAUUAUUUCAGGUCAUCUGCAGAGUCAGGAAGACAAUACUACUUUGGUUUACACUCAGUUCACAUCUACAGUGUUCUCUUCAUAAUCAUGAGAAGUAGAAACAAUCUUUUUAAAUAAAAGUUUAGAUUAUGGACCAUAACUGGGGACUAAGACGGGGAAUUGUUAUAUUCACAUUACCUUGCUUGUACUGCUACUGAAUGCUGUUAAGGGAUAUUUUUCAUCCCAUGUGAUGGUAGUUCUCAUUAGUUUAUUUUAAUCUUCCACCAACCCUAUCACUGUGAUUGAGGUGGGGGGUAAGGGGAAAGGGUUCCAGUUAAUGUCUUCCCUAAUUGGAAAAAGAGAGGAUCUGGCAAUGCCAAUGACACCUAGUGUUAGCUCUUGGUGCAUCAAUGGUGAUAAUCCCACUUCACCUGGUAUGCGUAAAUGGAGAGUGCUGCUUUGAUUAAUGUCUCACUGCCUGGGAGUUUUAAAGAAGCCAAUAAAAAUUAAAAAAUGUGCCUAGCGAUUUAAGAGCCUAUGUCCCAAUGCACUUUUGAAAAUUUUACACUUGGAGAUUAGGUUGCUAUCAGGCUGGGAGAAUAGGAAGAUUCCUUCAGUCCAAGUGACAACACUAGCAUGACUGCAGAAUAGGUUUCUCCUUUUAUCUUCAAGAGCAGUGUUUGUUAAGGUGAAAAUUUAUAUCCCUAUUACUGAGGAAAGGCCUACAUUAAUUUCUAUGAUUUAUUAAAAGUUAUUCAUGAGGAAAUAUUUUCUCUUUUGUACUGCCAAAGCCAGCCAAGAUUAAAGUACUGGUUGGGUGAUAAACUGUCAAAGUACUGUUUAAGUUUAUCAGCAGCUUUAAUGUAUGCAUCAAAAUAUGCAGAAAUCCUAAAAAUGUUAGGGAAGGUUAGGGAAUACCUUCCAUCAUAAUUUGCUAGUUUACAAUAGUGUCUCCCCUAGUCUAACUUUACUUCUCUCUUUUUUACAUACAACCUUCCCAUCAUAUAGCUGGUAUGUUUUGUAAAACCCUGUUAAAUCAUAAGAGGGAAAAUAUUGAUAGUGGG